rnacentral:rRNA from 1 species
GACAGAGGCCUCGAGCGUUAGGCGGAAUCACUGGGCUUAAAGCGUGUGUAGGCGGGCCCGUAAGUGUCUUGUGAAAUCCCACGGCUCAACCGUGGAACUGCUGGGCAUACUGCGGGUCUUGGGCCAACUAGGGGCAGCCGGAACAAGCGGUGGAGCGGUGAAAUGCGUAGAUAUCAUUUGGAACGCCAAUGGUGAAAACAGGUAGCUGGGGCUGUGCUGACACUGAGACACGAAAGCCAGGGGAGCAAACGGG